rnacentral:lncRNA from 1 species
AAGAGUUGGCUUACAAUCGCCACUUCACACAAUACAUAAAUAAAUCAUACAUCAUUCAAGAUACACACAUAGGUCCGACUACGGAACCAAAAGAGAAGAAGACAACCCAACUGCUAGAUCCCUGAUCGUCCCAACUGGGCUCCACUACUGAUCAACAAGAAAAUAAACAACACAAUGGACAAGAUCUUCAUCGAGCUCCCACUUGAGCUCGGUAGCGUCAUCUGCACUGGUCUCAUCGGCACCUGCAACUGUUUGGAAGUAUCUGUGAGUCACGAGGACUCAGCAAUCUCACACCCGCGAGAUCAAGACUAUUUAAGCUUGAAGGAAAGGAUGGGGUAAUGAGGUGAAGCUGCAGCAAGCACUAAGCAUAUAUGGUGGCUAACAUACGCAAAUGAGAGCGAGAAGAGAAGCAACGGAACGGUCGUGAACUAGCAAUGAUCAAGAAGUGAUCCUGAACUCCUACUUACGUCAAACAUAACCCAGAAACCGUGUUCACUUCCCGGACUCCGCCGAGAAGAGACCAUCACGGCUACACACGCGGUUGAUGCGUUUUAAUUAAGGUCAAGUGUCAAGUUCUCUACAACCGGAUAUUAACAAAUUCCCAUCUGCCACAUAACCGCGGGCACGGCUUUCGAAAGAUAAUACCCUGCAGGGUUGUCCCAACUUAGCCCAUCAAAAGCUCUCACGGUCAACGAAGGAUAAACCUUCUCCCAGGAAGACCCGAUCAGUCUCGGAAUCCCGGUUUACAAGACAUUUCGACAAUGGUAAAACAAGACCAGCAAAGCCGCCCGAAUGUGCCGACAAAUCCCGAUAGGAGCUGCACAUAUCUCGUUCUCAGGGCACACCGGAUUGUCCAAGCUUCCGGUAGGCCAGCCCAGAGUUGCCCCUGGUGGCCACCGGCGACUGACGGGUUGGACCAACACUCAGAGGAGCACUGGCCCGGGGGUUUAAAAUAAAGAUGACCCUUGAGUCUGCAGAACCCAAGGGAAAAAGGCUUAGGUAGGCAAAUGGUAAAACCAAGGUUGGGCCUUGCUGGAGGAGUUUUAUUCAAAGCGAACUGUCAAGGGGGUCCCAUAAAUCACCCAACCGCGUAAGGAACGCAAAAAUCAAGGAACAUAACACCGGUAUGACGGAAACUAGGGCAGCAAGAGUGGAACAAAACACCAGGCAUAAGGCCGAGCCUUCCACCCUUUACCAAAUAUAUAGAUGCAUUAAUAAUAUAAGAGAUAUUGUGAUAUCCCAACAUAAACAUAAUCCAACAUGGAGCAAUCUUCAACUUCACCUGCAUCUAGCAACGCUAUAAGAGGGGCUGAGCAAAAGCGGUAACAUCGCCAAACAACGGUUUGCUAGGAAGGGUGACAAAGGUUAGAGGUUCAUGGCAAUAUGGGAGGCAUGAAAUAGCAAGUGGUAGGUAGCGCUGCAUAGCAAUAGAGCGAACAGCUAGCAAGCAAAGAUAGAAGUGAUUUCGAGGGUACGGUCAUCUUGCCUGAGAUCCCGCAAGGAAGAAGAACGAGUCCAUGAAGAAGACAAACAGAUGUAGUCGAACGAAUCCUCACAACUCCAGAACGAAACCGAAGCUAUCGAGAGAAGCAACCCGGAAAGAAACAGACAACAUAGUAAACAACCACCACAUACACAUGGCAUGAUGCAAAAAAAACUAUGAUGCAUGUCCGGUUUAAAUAUGCAUGGCAUGGCAAAGUGCAACAAACAACACUACAAAUUAAGUGGAGCUCAAUAUGCAACGAGUUGCAUAUCGACGAAACACCACAUCAAUUAUUUAGUUCUCUCUCGUUUAUGGACCCAACAAUGUUAAAUGUUGUUAACCAUGGCAAGAGGUGAAUCAUAAGGAAACUACCUAUUUUAGGCAAUUUAAAUGAGGCCGGAACAACAAACAAUAAUUCCGGAAAAUCCUCAUGUCCAUAUUUUAGAUUUGGUACUGUUCUGCCAUAAACGCAAUUUUAAUGUUGUUAAACAGAAAAAUAGAGUGCACCAUGUUAAACUAGGCAUUUUUCCAAGCAAGUUACAUAUAUAGUUUAAUUAAAUCCGAGUUACGGUUAAUUAGUUAUGAAUUAAAUCAUUUUAACAUGGCAUUUAAGCAAAUAAACACAAACAGCAUGUUAAACAUUUUAUCAUGGGAUGAAACUGGCAUAUUAUUAAUCUACACAAAAUUCUAAGUAUUUUUCAUAUAUAAAUUAUUUUAAUCCGAUGCAUGGUUUGUGAGAUAUUAAAUGCAUGAACAUGGAGGGUCAAACUGUAAAUAUGCAGUUUCUGGAAAAUUAGACAAAUUUGCAGCAGCGGAAAAAAACACUGCGGGCCUAAUUUGGCUGGCCCACUGGUGCACAGGAGCGGCGCUGGACGCUGCUCACCAUGGGCUGAGGCCCGGUCGAUGGAGGAGGCCCAAGAGGGCGUUGGACCUUGGCGCUGGAGCUGGACCUGGGCCUGAUCUGCAGGCGCGCUGCCCAGGCGUGGUCAAAGGCGAGACGAGGCGAGCGAGCUGCUGCUCGUUACUGAAGAAUAGAGGCAGCAGCAGCAGGUAAAGCAGGGGAGCGGCAGCGCGAUGCAGGGGCUCCGGCGAGGCGGCCUCGGCGGGGACCGGCCGGAACGGGACUGGG